rnacentral:lncRNA from 1 species
CUCAACGUGGUGUAUAGCACGAAAAACCUUUCGAUACAAGAUAGGGCCGUUCACAUGAAAGAAAAAAAUGAAUCCUUUCUUAUCUUCUUUCCCGAGAGGGAAAGAGAAAGAGGGUCUUAUGGAGGGAGGGGGGAGGGGAAAGGCUUGGGCCUACCUAUCCCGAUAGGACCCCAUAAAAGAACGGGAGCUGUUGAGAGGUUCCAUAUUGCCGAGACGAAGGACAGCACUUCUGUACGUGAUCGUAGUAUGUCACGUCGUCUCGUCCCCGCUGCAUCGAAGAGUACCUAUGCACUAUGUUCCGGUUCACUGAUAAGGAAGAUAGCGUUGGGGUGGGGGUCUACGAUGUGAUACUAAAGUAUGACCGGGGGAGAUACAUGCUAACUAUGGGUAGGAAGCAGGAACCAUUAUGUAAAAAAUUUCGGGGGGUUACAGAUCUCUUAUACUACCAUCGAUCAACAGAGCGGAACGACCAGAAAAAGAAGUUA